rnacentral:lncRNA from 1 species
AUUCUACUCACAUUGGAUGCUAAGCCUAAAAGAAAUAUUAUUUAGAGGAGAGGUAUUCCAUCGAGGGCUCCUCUCAACUCUAUGAUGAACUUGUCUCCUCUAGGGGCCAGGGGGUCUGGUUUUAUAGUCCCCUCAAGUGAACGUGAGCCAUUGGAUCAAACCGACAUUGAUUGGACGGUUAUCCUUGAUCCUUUAGGUCGGUGGAGCUUGAUCCGCGAAAAGAGUCCCG